rnacentral:sRNA from 4 species
UUGCUAUCUGCGAUAUGGAAGAUUCGAACCUGCCGCAGGUUCGGGUCUCAUGCAGUGAGACAACGGAGCCGUUUACGGCGACGGCCCGAAGGGCGAGCGAAGCGAGUCAUCCUGCACGACCCAUCA